rnacentral:rRNA from 1 species
AUUGAACGCUGGCGGCGUGCCUAAUACAUGCAAGUAGGACGCAGUUGCCAACGGGUUAGUACCGCGUAGGUAACUACCUAUUAGAGGGGGAUAACUAUUGGAAACGAUAGCUAAUACCGCAUCCUAGUACAUGGACCUUCGUUGUAUUAGCUAGUAGGUAGGGUAAUGGCCUACCUAGGCAACGAUACAUAGCCGACCGGAGAGGGGGAUCGGCCACAACGGGACUGAGACAAGGCCCAGACUCCUACGGGAGGCAGCAGUAGGGAAUCUUCGGCAAUGGGGGGAACCCUGACCGAGCAACGCCGCGUGAGUGAAGAAGGGUUUCGGAUCGUAAAGCUCUGUUGUUAAGGAAGCGGUACUUAACCAGAAAGGGACGGCUAACUACGUGCCAGCCGCCGCGGUAAUUC